CAUGCCUUGCAUUGCAUUAAAGAAUUAAUCUCCCUCAUGAUAUUGUAAUGGGUUUGAAGAACUAAGGUAUGGAGGUCCCCCAUGAACUCCCAAUCGCACCACACUUUGCACCACAUCACUUGUUAUAGCCACCUCUUUGAUUCACCACGCCCUGCACUGCAUUAAAGAAUUAAUCUCCCUCAUGACAUUGCGAUGGGUUUGAAGAACUAAGGAGUGGAGGUCCCCCGUGAACUUCCGAUCGCACCACACUUUGCACCACAUCACUUGUUAUAGCCAGCUCUUUGAUUCACCACACCCUGCACUGCAUUAAAGAAUUAAUCUCCCUCAUGACAAUGCGAUGGGUUUGAAGAACUAAGGAGUGGAGGUCCCCCGU